rfam:Streptomyces sp. SolWspMP-5a-2 genome assembly, contig: Ga0115242_1039
CUUGAUGGAGCCCAGGUGCAGCGGCUGUUCGGCGGGGCGGUCCUGGCCGUAGGUGGCCAACAGCGCCUGCGCCUC